AUUGAACGCUGGCGGCAGGCCUAACACAUGCAAGUCGAGCGGAUGAAGGGAGCUUGCUCCUGGAUUCAGCGGCGGACGGGUGAGUAAUGCCUAGGAAUCUGCCUGGUAGUGGGGGAUAACGUCCGGAAACGGGCGCUAAUACCGCAUACGUCCUGAGGGAGAAAGUGAGGGAUCUUCGGACCUCACGCUAUCCGAUGAGCCUAGGUCGGAUUAGCUAGUUGGUGGGGUAAAGGCCUACCAAGGCGACGAUCCGUAACUGGUCUGAGAGGAUGAUCAGUCACACUGGAACUGAGACACGGUCCAGACUCCUACGGGAGGCAGCAGUGGGGAAUAUUGGACAAUGGGCGAAAGCCUGAUCCAGCCAUGCCGCGUGUGUGAAGAAGGUCUUCGGAUUGUAAAGCACUUUAAGUUGGGAGGAAGGGCAGUAAGUUAAUACCUUGCUGUUUUGACGUUACCAACAGAAUAAGCACCGGCUAACUUCGUG
rnacentral:rRNA from 1 species